rnacentral:rRNA from 1 species
UUGACGGUUUCGGCGUCAGAUACUGGCUCACCGUCCAAGUGCCAGGGCUCAAGAUCUUCGGAAUCGUCGUCCUCGUGCCGACACCACUCGCCGGAUGUGUCCCGGUAUGGAGUCCCCAGUUCCUCGCCGCCACAUGCCAGGCGCAAGAAAGGGCGGGUUAGAACCAGGGCGUCGACCAUGAUCCUGUUCAAGCUGCCUUUUAGCCCGAGCCAUCGCAGUCUUGGGAAGAGUGGUUUCUUAAACCACUUCAUUGCAAGUAAUGUGAUCCCGCCGCAGUCGUAG